rnacentral:rRNA from 1 species
GACGAACGCUGGCGGCGUGCCUAAUACAUGCAAGUCGAGCGAAUCAAUAGGAGCUUGCUCCUGUUGGUUAGCGGCGGACGGGUGAGUAACACGUGGGCAACCUGCCUGUAAGAUCGGGAUAACUUCGGGAAACCGGAGCUAAUACCGGAUAAUCCUUUCCUACACAUGUAGGGAAGCUGAAAGACGGUUUCGGCUGUCACUUACAGAUGGGCCCGCGGCGCAUUAGCUAGUUGGUGAGGUAACGGCUCACCAAGGCGACGAUGCGUAGCCGACGUGGGAGGGGGAUCGGCCACACGGGGACUGAGACAGGGCCCAGACUCCUACGGGAGGCAGCAGUAGGGAAUCUUCCGCAAUGGACGAAAGUCUGACGGAGCAACGCCGCGUGAGCGAUGAAGGCCUUCGGGUCGUAAAGCUCUGUUGUUAGGGAAGAACAAGUAUCGGAGUAACUGCCGGUACCUUGACGGUACCUAACCAGAAAGCCACGGCUAACUACGUGCCAGCCGCCGCGGUAAAAC